CAUCAACAAGGAAGCCACCAAGCCCGGAAGGUGCUAAAAGAGCACACCCAGGGGACCCCACCAUGAAUGUGUCAGUAGCAGGUGCACAAGGACAGAGGCCAUGGCCAGAAAGAGUCCCGCUGGAGGUCAGAGGAAGCUGGGACACACAGCACUCUCACCAGGAACCUCUCCCUGAAGCAGAGAGGAUGCAGAAGCUUCUCUUGUUUGAAGGCACUGAGGAAUGUCAGAGGGAGGGGAGACCCUCUGAAAUCACCCACAGGGAGUCUGAACUUCAAAUUGACUAAUUGCUACAAAGGCCAUUUUAACCCAGAAAAGACUGAGUUGUUUUUAAUUCACAAGUAUAAGUCAUAGUGUGUGGCAUGAUGGAAGUGGAACUGACCUUUCCAAAUCUGAGUAUGGCCACGGCAGCAUCUCCACCGUCUCCCUCACACACACAUGCUAUGAGGAAGCUGAGAUCCAGCCAAGUUCACAUAUCUAGUAAGUGACAGAACCUAGAUACCAACCCAAGCAUCCUGACUCCAGAGCCUUCUUCGCUGUACCAAAGGCUUAGGUCACUCCACUUGUUUGUUUCUGGUCAAACAUGUGUUGACAAUUGUGUGGAUGCACACCUAGAAUGUUUUGGAAAGAUCUGUGAAAAUAUGGCAGUGACAAGAUUUCCUUUUCCAAUAUGUUUUCCAAAGUAAAACACCAGACAUUCAUGAUUCAACCCAUGUCUGGGAUUCUGCACGAUCAAGUGCCCUCAG
rnacentral:lncRNA from 10 species